rnacentral:misc_RNA from 1 species
CGGCCAACAAGCGGCGUCAGGGCGGCCAUUUCUUGAACCGCGCCCGGACUAUCAGCACGGUCGCCGCGCUCUGCCCAGUGUUUUUUAACUUCUUAACUGUAGUUAACGCGAGACGACAGCCGUGUUGUGAAGGCUGAGGCGCCGUGCGGAGCCCCGUGCCGUUGACGAGGUGAGGCGCGCCGGACCUGACGACGGAGAACUUGAGUAUUCUCGAGAUAUAAAUAUAGACGGUCGGCCAUUGUUGGCGAGGGAGUGAAGAGCUGAGGGACGAGGAGCACAGCGACCAUGGCGUCCUCAACAUCUACAAUGCCUCCUAAAACAAAGAUAUUUGUUGGCAAAUUACCACCAACAUGCAAAGAUUUUGAACUUCGUAAAUUGUUUGAGAGGUAUGGGGAAGUGACAGAGUGCUCCAUUCUUGGGAAUUAUGCCUUUGUACACAUGAAAACAGAAGAACAGGCAGCAACAGCAAUAAGGAACCUUAACAAUUGGGACAUGAAUGGCUUUAAAAUCAGUGUUGAGCAAUCAACAGGAGAAAAGCGGGCUGGCGGAAUGGGUGGUAUGGGAGGUCGUGGGGGAAUGGGUGGUGGCUUUCGUGGGCGUGGUGGACCCAUGAGAGGACGAGGCAUGGGCCGUCCAGGCCCAUAUGACCGUAGACCCCCAAUGGGUGAUCGUUAUGGUCCACCACCUCCAGGUCCACCCCCAGCACCUCCCAUGCGAAAUGGCUAUUAUGAUGAUUACGAACGCCGUGAUCGUCGUCCUCUUCCACCAGCAGGAGCUUUAGAUCGCCGGCCACCACCACCAAUGCCAAGAGAGCCAGCAUACAGGGACCCAUAUGACCGCUAUGAUUCUUACGAUCGUAUGCCCCCACCACCCAUGGGUCGUCGCACUCCGCCACCUAUGGACCGUCGACCUCCUCCCAUGGGAUAUGACCGCAGAGAUGACCCAUAUGGAGAUAUGUAUGGACCAAGACCAGAACGAGACAUCUAUGGUGGCGGCAGGGACAUGUUCCCCCCUCGUGGCCGAUCGCCACCUCGCCGUAGUCCUCCACGCCGGUACAACUGGGAGUUGGUUGGCCAAUGAGGGUUUAUCCUUUGUGGAUGAUUUGAAGCUGUGAUGCCACUGAUGUGAAGCAACCUUCUUGAGCAGGCAGUUGGACCCAACAUUCCAACAUGGUAUGCAUUCCAAGGCUGACUUAACUGGUAAGGUUGGGAGUUUGCCAUUUCUACUGCUGUACUUCCCAAAUAAACGUUCAGAUAUACCGAUUGUUUGCCUUGUACAUAUUGUUCAGACUGUGUCCUGUACUCAGAUUUGUUGUACAUAAAUUCACACGUUCAUGCUUGUACAAAACAUGGUCUAUAUCCUGUAUCAUCAAAAGUGGGGAGGAAAUUCCUUUAGUAAUAGUGAAAUGUCUUGCAACAAGUCUGAAUUGAGCAUUGGCAGCUUUUGAUAAGAAUUCUGAUGGAAUUAUCCACUUCCCUCCUUAGGAAGUGCUGGUGAAAUUGUAUUAUCUAAUAUCAAGAUAGUACAAAUAAUGAGUGGUUUAUAUAAAAAUAUGUAAUUAAAUUUAAAAUACA